rnacentral:rRNA from 1 species
AGGUAAGCUACUAAGAGCGAAUGGUGGAUGCCUUGACUGGUAAAGGCGAUGAAGGACGUACUAGACUGCGAUAAGCUACGGGGAGCUGUCAAGAAGCUUUGAUCCGUAGAUUUCCGAAUGGGGCAACCCAAUGUAUAGAGAUAUGCAUUACCUAUAUAGGAGCGAACGAGGGGAAUUGAAACAUCUUAGUACCCUCAGGAAAAGAAAUCAAUAGAGAUUGCGUCAGUAGCGGCGAGCGAAAGCGCAAGAGGGCAAACCCAGUGCUUGCACUGGGGGUUGUAGGACUGCAAUGUGCAAGAGCUGAGUUUAGCAGAACAUUCUGGAAAGUAUAGCCAUAGAGGGUGAUAGUCCCGUAUGCGAAAAACAAAGCUUAGCUAGCAGUAUCCUGAGUAGGGCGGGACACGAGGAAUCCUGUCUGAAUCCGGGUCGACCACGAUCCAACCCUAAAUACUAAUACCAGAUCGAUAGUGCACAAGUACCGUGAGGGAAAGGUGAAAAGAACUGAGGUGAUCAGAGUGAAAUAGAACCUGAAACCAUUUGCUUACAAUCAUUCAGAGCACUAUGUAGCAAUACAGUGUGAUGGACUGCCUUUUGCAUAAUGAGCCUGCGAGUUGUGGUGUCUGGCAAGGUUAAGCAAACGCGAAGCCGUAGCGAAAGCGAGUCUGAAUAGGGCGCUUAGUCAGAUGCUGCAGACCCGAAACGAAGUGAUCUAUCCAUGAGCAAGUUGAAGCUAGUGUAAGAACUAGUGGAGGACUGAACCCAUAGGCGUUGAAAAGCCCCGGGAUGACUUGUGGAUAGGGGUGAAAGGCCAAUCAAACUUCGUGAUAGCUGGUUCUCUCCGAAAUAUAUUUAGGUAUAGCGUUGUGUCGUAAUAUAAGGGGGUAGAGCACUGAAUGGGCUAGGGCAUACACCAAUGUACCAAACCCUAUCAAACUCCGAAUACCUUAUAUGUAAUCACAGCAGUCAGGCGGCGAGUGAUAAAAUCCGUCGUCAAGAGGGAAACAACCCAGACUACCAGCUAAGGUCCCUAAAUCUUACUUAAGUGGAAAACGAUGUGAAGUUACUUAAACAACCAGGAGGUUGGCUUAGAAGCAGCCAUCCUUUAAAGAAAGCGUAAUAGCUCACUGGUCUAGUGAUUUUGCGCGGAAAAUAUAACGGGGCUAAAGUAAGUACCGAAGCUGUAGACUUAGUUUACUAAGUGGUAGGAGAGCGUUCUAUUUGCGUCGAAGGUAUACCGGUAAGGAGUGCUGGAGCGAAUAGAAGUGAGCAUGCAGGCAUGAGUAGCGAUAAUUAAUGUGAGAAUCAUUAACGCCGUAAACCCAAGGUUUCCUACGCGAUGCUCGUCAUCGUAGGGUUAGUCGGGUCCUAAGUCGAGUCCGAAAGGGGUAGACGAUGGCAAAUUGGUUAAUAUUCCAAUACCAACAUUAGUGUGCGAUGGAAGGACGCUUAGGGCUAAGGGGGCUAGCGGAUGGAAGUGCU